AUCCUGCUACUUUACCAAAUUUAUUGAUUAGCUCUAGUAGUUUUCUGGUAGCAUGUUUAGGAUUCUCUAUGUAUAGUAUCAUGUCAUCUGCACACAGUGACAGCUUUACUUCUUUUCCGAUUUGGAUUCCUGUUAUUUCUUUUUCUUCUCUGAUUGAUGUAGCUAAAACCUCCAAAACAGUGUUGAAUAAUAGUGGUGAGAGUGGGCAACCUUGUCCUGUUCCUGAACUUAGUGGAAAUGGUUUCAGUUUUUCACCAUUGAGGACGAUGUUGGCUGUGAGUGUGUCACAUAUGGCCUUUAUUAUGUUGAGGAAAGUUCCCUCUAUGCCUACUUUCUGGAGAGUUUUUAUCAUAAAUGGGUGUUGAAUUUUGUCAAAAGCUUUCUCUGCAUGUAUUGAGAUGAUCAUAUGGUUUUUCUCCUUCAUUUUGUUAAUAUGGUGUAUCACGCUGAUUGAUUUGCGUAUAUUGAAGAAUCUUUGCAAUCCUGGGAUAAACCCCACUUGAUCAUGGUGUAUGAUCCUUUAACUGUGCUGUUGGAUUCUGUUUGCUCGUAUUUUUUUGAGGAUUUUUGCAUCUAUGUUCAUCAGUGAUAUUGGCCUGUAGUUUUCUUUCUUUGUGACAUCUUUGUCUGGUUUUGGUAUCAGGGUGAUGGUGGCCUUGUAGAAAAAGUUGGGAGUAUUCCUCCCUCUGCUGUAUUUUGGAAGAGUUUGAGAAGGAUAGGUGUUAGCUCUUCUCUCAAUGUUAGAUAGAAUUCGCCUGUGAAGCCAUCUGGUCCUGGGCUUUUGUUUCUUGGAAGGUUUUUAAUCACAGUUUCAAUUUCAGUGCUUGUGAUUGGUCUGUUCAUAUUUUCUGUUUCUUCCUGUUUCAGUCUCGGAAGGUUGUGCAUUUCUAAGAAUUUGUCCAUUUCUUCCAGGUUGUCCAUUUUAUUGGCAUAGAGUUGCUUGUAGUAAUCUCACAUGAUCCUUUGUAUUCUGCAGUGUCAGUUGUUACUUCUCUUUUUUCAUUUCUAAUUCUAUUGAUUUGAGUCUUCUCCGUUUUUCUCUUGAUGAAUCUGGCUCUCGGUUUAUCAAUUUUGUUUAUCUUCUCAAAGCACCACCUUUUAGUUUUAUUGAUCAUUGCUACCGUUUUCUUCAAUUCUUUUUCAUUUAUUUCUGAUCUGAUCUUUUUGAUUUCUUUCCUUCUGCUAACUUUGGGGUUUUUUUGUUCUUCUUUCUCUAAUUGCUUUAGGUGUAAGGUUAGGUUGUUUAUUUGAGAUGUUUCUUGUUUCUUAAGGUAGGAUUUUACUGCUAUAAACUUCCCUCUUAGAACUUCUUUUACUGUAUCCCAUAGGUUUUGUGUCAUCGUGUUUUCAUUGUCAUUUGUUUCUAGGUAUUUUUUGAUUUCCUCUUUGAUUUCUUCAGUGAUCUCUUGGUUUUUAAGUAGUGUAUUGUUUAGCAUCCAUGUGUUUGUAUUUUUUACAGAUUUCUUCCUGUAAUUGAUAUCUAGUCUCAUAGUGUUGUGGUCAGAAAAGAUACUUUAUACCAUUUCAGUUUUCUUAAAUUUACCAAGGCUUGAUUUGUGACCCAAGAUAUGAUCUAUCCUGGAGAAUGUUCCAAGAGCACUUGAGACGAAAGUGUAUUCUGUUGUUUUUGGAUGGAAUGUCCUAUAAAUAUUAAUUAAGUCCAUCUUGUUUAAUGUAUCAUUUAAAGCUUGUGUUUCCUUUUUUUUUUUUCAUUUUGGAUGAUCUGUCCAUUGGUGAAAGUGGAGUGUUAAAGUCCCCUACUAUGAUUGUGUUACUGUCGAUUUCCCCUUGUAUGGCUGUUAGUAUUUGCCUUAUGUAUUGACGUGCUCCUAUGUUGGGUGCAUAAAUAUUUAAAAUUGUUAUAUCUUCUUUUUGGAAUGAUCCCUUGGUCAUUAUGUACUGUCCUUCUUUGCCUCUUGUAAUAGUCUUUGUUUUAAAGUCUGUUUUGUCUGAUAUGAGAAUUGCUACUACAGUUUUCUUUAGAUUUCCAUUUGCAUGGAAUAUCUUUUUCCAUCUCCUCACUUUCAGUCUGUAUGUGUUCCUAGGUCUGAAGCUGGUCUCUUGUAGACAGCAUAUAUGUGAGUCUUGUUUUUUUUAUCCAUUCAGCUAGUUUAUGACCUUUGGAUGGACCAUUUAAUCCAUUUACAAUUAAGGUAGUUAUCGAUAUGUAUGUUCCUAUUACCAUUUUCUUAAUUGUUUUGGGUUCGUUAUUGUAGGUCUUUUCCUUCUCUUCGUUUCCUGCGUAGAGAAGUUCCUUUAGCAUUUGUUGUAAAGCUGGUUUGGUGGUGCUGAAUUCUCUUAGCUUUUGCUUGUCUGUAAAGGUUUUAAUUUCUCCAUCAAACUGAAUGAGAUCCUUACUGGGUAGAGUAAUCUUGGUUGUAGGUUUUUCUCCUUCAUCACUUUUAAUAUGUCUUGCCACUCCCUUCUGGCUUGCAGAGUUUCUGCUGAAAGAUCAGCUGUUAACCUUAUGGGGAUUCCCUUGUAUAUUUUUUGUUGUUUUUCCCUUGCUGCUUUUAAUAUUUUUUCUUUAUAUUUAAUUUUUGAUAGUUUGAUUAAUAUGUGUCUUGGCAUGUUUCUCCUUGGAUUUAUCCUGUAUGGGACUCUCUGUGCUUCCUGGACUUGAUUAACUAUUUCCUUUCCCAUAUUAGGGAAGUUUUCAACUAUAAUCUCUUCAAAUAUUUUCUCAGUCCCUUUCUUUUUGUCUUCUUCUUCUGGGACCCGUAUAAUUCGAGUCUUGGUGCAUUUAAUGUUGUCUCAGAGGUCUCUGAGACUGUCCUCAUUUCUGUUCAUCCUUUUCUCUUUAUUCUGCCCUGCAGUAGGUAUUUCCACUAUUUUAUCUUCCAGGUCACUUAUCCCUUCUUCUGCCUCAGUUACUCUGCUAUUGAUGCCUUCUAGAGAAUUUUCAAUUUUAUUUAUUGUGUUGCUCAUCACUGUUUGUUUGCUCUUUAGUUCUUCUAGGUCCUUGUUAAACAUUUCUUGUAUUUUCUUCAUUCUAUAUCCAAGAUUUUGGAUCAUCUUUACUAUCAUUAUUCUGAAUUCUUUUUCAGGUAGCCUGCCUAUUUCCUCUUCAUUUGUUAGGUCUGGUGGGUUUUUGCCUUGCUCCUUCAUCUGCCGUGUGUUUCUCUGUCUUUGCAUUUUGCUUAACUUACUGUGUUUGGGUUCUCCUUUUCACAGGCUGCAGGUUCGUAGUUCCUUUUGUUUUUGGUGUGUAUCCGCAGUGGCUAAGUUUGCUUCAGUGGGCUGUAUAGACUUCCUGGUGGAGGGGACUAGUGCCUGUGUUCUGGUGGAUGCGGUUGGAUCUUGUCUUUCUGGUGGGCAGGUCCACGUCUGGUAGUGUGUUUUGGGGUGUGUGUGGUCUUAUUAUGAUUUUAGGCAGCCUCUCUGCUAAUGGAUGGGGUUGUGUCCCUGUCUUGCUAGUUGUUUGGCAUAGGGUGUCCAGGACUGUAGCUUGCUGGUUGUUGAGUGGACCUGGGUCUUGGCGUUGAGAUUGAGAUCUCUGGGAGAAUAUUCACUGUUUGAUAUUAUAUGGAGCUGGGAGGUCUCUGGUGGACCAAUGUCCUGAACUUGGCUCUCCUACCUCAGAAGCACAGCCCUGACAGCUGGCUGGAGCACCAAGAACCUGUCCUCCACACGGCUCAGAAUAAAAGGGAGGAAAGAAGAAGAUAAAAUAAAAUAAAAUAAAGUAAAAUAAAAUAAUUAUAAUGAAAAAUAAAAAAUAAUUAUUAAAAAUUUUUUUAAAGUAAUUAAAAAAAAAAGAAAGAAAGAAUAGAUUAUCCAAGCCAAAAAACAAAUCCACCAGUGCUAACAAGUGCUAAAAACUAUACUAAAAGAAAAACAAAAAGCAACAAAAAAAAAGGACAGAACCCUCGGACUGCUGGUAAAAGCAAAGCUAUACAGACAAAAUCACACACUGAAGCAUAGACAUAGACACUCACAAAAAGAGAAAAAGGAAAAAAAAUAUAUAUCGUUGCUCCCAAAGUCCACCUCCUCAAUUUGGGAUGAAUCGUUGUCUACUCCUGUAUUCCACAGGUGCAGGGUACAUCAAGUUGAUUGUGGCACUUUAAUCAUCUUCUCCUGAGGCUGCUGGGAGAGAUUUCCCUUUCUCUUCUUUGUUCGCACAGCUGCCGGGGUUCAGCUUUGGAUUUGGCUCCGCCUCUGCGUGUAGGUCACCUGAGGGCAUCUGUUCCCGUUCACCCAGGACGGGGUUAAAGGAGCCGCUGAUUCGCGGGCUCUGGCUCACUCAGGCCGCGGGGAGGGAGGGGUACGAAGUGCGGGGCGAGCCUGCGGCGGCAGAGUCCACUGUGACGUUGCACCAGCCUGAGGCGCGCCGUGCGUUCUCCCGUGGAAGUUGUUCCUGGAUCACGGGACCCUGGCAGUGGCGGGCUGCACAGGCUCCCGGGAGGGGAGGUGUGGAUAGUGACCUGUGCUUGCACACAGGCUUCUUGGUGGCGGCAGCAGCAGCCUUAGCGUCUCAUGCCCAUCUCUGGGGUCCGUGCUGAUAGCCGCGGCUCGUGCCUGUCUCUGGAGCUCCUUUCAGCAGCGCUCUUAAUCCCUCUCCUCGCGCACCAGGGAACAAAGAGGGAAGAAAAAGUCUGGACCUGCCAAAGAGGCAAGAGACUUUUCCCCAGACUCCCUCCUGGCUAGCCUUGGUGCACUAACCCCUUCAGGCCGUGUUCACUCCGCCAGUCCUCUCCCUGCGCUCAGACCGAAGCCCAAGCCUCAGCUCCCAGCCCCGCCCGCCCCGGAGGGGGAGCAGACAAGCCUCUCGGCUGGUCGGCCCUGAUCCUCUGUGCGGGAAUCUCUGAGCUUUGCCCUCUGCACCCCUGUGGCUGCGCUCUCCUCCGUGGCUCCGAAGCUUCCCCCCUCCGCCACCCGCAGUCUCCGCCCGCGAAGGGGCUUCCUAGUGUGUGGAAACCUUUCCUCCUUCACAGCUCCCUCCCACUGGAGCAGGUCCUGUCCCUAUUCUUUUGUCUCUGUUUUUCUUUUUUCUUUUGCCCUACCCAGGUACGUGGGGAGUUUCUUGCCUUUUGGGAGGUCUGAGGUCUUCUGCCAGUGUUCAGUAGAUGUUCUUUAGGAGUUGUUCCACAUGUAGAUGUAUUUCUGAUGUAUUUGUGGGGAGGAAGGUGAUCUGCACGUCUUACUCUUGCACCGUCUUCGCUACAUGUACUUUUAAAGUUCAGUCUCAACCAGAAGAUUCCUUCUAAGAACUUUGUUCAAUAGCAGCACUUGGUUUGCAUCUCUCUAGUACAGAGAUUUGCUUUGUGUUCCAGUGAUUUCUAAAAUUAUUCCUUCAAUGAGACUACUGUUUUGGGAGGGACCACAAGUGGGUAUUACUCAUUGUAAUUCCUGUAGCAUCUAGCUCAGAGCUCUGUAUAUAGUAAAUUAAUAAAUUAAUAAAAGUAAUAAUUUAAGAGCUUGAACUGAGGAGGCAGACUGACUCUCUAGCACUGUAAAUGUUAAUUAUAAUUUUUUGUCAUUAAACCUUUAUUUAGUGCUCAUAGAAUAAUGGUUACAUUUGAAACCGUUUUAUAUUAUUUUCUACCUUGUUUAUAAAGUAAUUUUAAAUGAGAACAAGCACAAUGUACACAGGGAUAAUUGAGAAAUGAUUUAUUUUCCUGUUUACAAUGGACAUUCAUUAUAAUCCUUUUUUGGGGCAGUGGGGUAAAAUCCAUUCUUUGCACAAGUUAAUUUCUCUUUUGGGUGUUUAGGCUUAGCCUAUACAGCAAAGAAAUUUCUUGAAAUAAAUUAUCUCUGCAUCCUGCAAAAGAUCAUUAAAGUAACUGUGAAUCUCCUUAGAAGGCAAAGUUACCUACCACAUUAUUGUGUUGUUUCACAGUGAACUCAGAGAGUUAUUCAAAAAUAGGUCAGGGAGAAUCAGUAGGUAGGUGGGAGUAUGAGGGCUGAUCCACUCUCAAUUUCAGUUUCUAAGAUAUACACUUUAACUUCUAGUGUUUGCUAGAAAUAGUGAUUAAAUGAUAUAAUUUUGGGAAAUGCUAAUAUCUCAGAGUCAUCACACCACAUUAAUACAAUUGGGAAAUACUAAAAUGGUUUUGAUGUCUGAAAAAGAAGUGAAUGUGCACUUAAAAAUUUGUUAAGAGGGUAGAUCUCAUGCUAAGUGUUCUUACCAUAGAAAAAAGAAAAAAAUGAAAACAAAAUGAAAAAACCCAAAGGGAUGCAAAUAAAAUUUUGGAGGUGAUGGAUAUGUUUAUUAAUUUUAUAAUGGUGAUAUCAUGGGUAUAUGCAUAUGUCUAAACUUAUCAAAUUGUAUACAUUAAAUACAUGUAGCAUUUUGUGUAUCAGUUAUACUUCAGUAAAGUUGUAUAACAAAACAAAACAAAAACAUCUUGCAUAGAACCUGAAACAUUUUCAGGGUAUAGUAACAAUUUCCAGAAAUCCUGAGAAGCCAGUGAAGGAAAAACCAGCAUGAUGACCUAAAAUGAGGGCAGCCUUUGGAAUAACAUUAUGUACACUUCCAAUUUAAACUGUGUGAAGCAUAGAAAAAGAUAAAAGUUUCCCAAUUCAUUUUAAGCAUAACCUUGACUCCAAAACUUUCCAAGCCUGAAUAAAAAGAAAACCAGAGACCCAUCUCAUUUAUGUGUAUUGUUGCAAAAAUUAUUAAUAAAAUGUUGGCAUGUUAAACAACACCAAAAAAACAAAGAUUAAAAAAUCAUUAUACUCCAGUGUGUUUUAUUAAGUUUGAACUUUUUUGGAAGAAAUAUAAAAUUUGUGAAUUUCCCACUGGAUUUUCUUGUUAUUAAACUUUCAAAAUAUUUUCGCAGUUACUGUCAGAAAUAAAAGUACCACUUUUGUUUUUGUUCCCUCAAUCCCCUUGUCUUUGGCGAUUACUACAAAGAAAUUUAAAAUUACAUUGAAUCUUAUUCCUUCGACCUCUAAAUAACACCUAAAUUUUGUAAGCAAAUAUCUCCUUAACAUAGUGAAUUUUAAAACUUUCUUAAAUACAGAGGUUUUGCCUUGUUCUUUAAAAAAAUCCUCAAAACAGGGCUUCCCUGGUGGCACAGUGGUUGAGAGUCCACCUGCCGAUGCAGGGGACACGGGUUCGUGCCCUGGUCCAGGAAGAUCCCACAUGCCGCAGAGCGGCUAGGCCCAUAAGCCAUGGCCGCUGAGCCAGCAUGUCCGGAGCCUGUGCUCCGCAACGAGAGAGGCCACGACAGUGAGAGGCCCACAUAACGCAAAAAAAAAAAAAAAAAAAAAAAAAAAAUCCUCAAAACAAAUACACAAAUUAAUUAAAAUAAGGAUGAGUAGGUGGUUAGAUGUUUAUAUAUUUAAAAUAGCUUGUAUUUACCUCACUUAUAAAAACAAUCGAUCUUCAAAUGUUAGGAUUGAGAAGUAUUUUUGCUUGUUCAAGUUGUACAAGAGGCAAAAACAAUAUAAAUUUAAAAUCACUUGUAUAGGUAUAAAAUAUUAAGUAUAGGUGAUAAUUCACCCUUUAUUGGCAACUAGCCAUUUUCCUAUAUUAUAUUUAUUUAGCCACUUAGGGUCUUAAAUUUCUUAUCCAUAAAUGAAAGAUGAGGGCUAGAUGGUCUUUUAGGUUCCAAAUCCUAACUUUUUUUAAACCCCAAACCAAAAUUAUUCUAUGAAUAGGACCCAUAGAUGGCAGUACCAUAUAAUAAAAACAGUGGGGAAAAAAUGAUGUGUUUUGAACUUGUCCAGAUUAGGAAAAACAUAAAAUUAAAACUCAUCUAUUUUGGGGUUUCAAAUGGAAAAGAGAAAGCAAAAGCAAAAUGGCCAUGAUCAUUAUCACUUAAUUUCUAGCUACAUGAGGUAAAGAUGGGAGAAAAACUAAAUUUUGCCUAUUUCUGUAUAAAAAAUGCAUUGAAGAGUAAACAAUUAGAUUUCUAAAGGACUUAGAGACUACAACUCUGGUAGCAAAAAACUGGAUUUUGAAAAAGCCACUGGAAAUAAUGCACCUACUGAAAGUAAAGUAGAAAACCAAAAACAAACAAACAACAACAAAAACCCCCGAAAAACUUAAACUGAAAUGACAUUUAACUGUGCAGUAAAAGCUUAUUACUUUAGGAUGAUUUAUAGGUAAAAACAUGUACCUGACCUAAUAAAAAAUCUGCACUGUGGGAUAUUUUGAAAUUAACAUUCUUUUACUUCUGAAUGGCAUAAAGUAUCUUAACCUAAGUUUACAUUUUUUUUUUCUCUUGGAGGACAGCACAGUGACUGGCUUUGAAAAUGACAAGGGAUUGCUUGUACAGCAUUUUACAUAUCCAUGGUAGAGUGGAUGAUUUUAGGAAAUUUGAGGACAAAUAUAAUCUGACUAUGAAGAAUGAGAUUUCCAAAUAAAGUCACAAUUCAACCCAUGCUUUUAUUACCAAUAAAAUCACCCAAUUCUUGUGGAUUUGGAAUUAACAAAUUAAAAUUUCAUUAAGGAAAAAUUCCUUGAAAGCUAUAUUUGAAUGUGCUAUUAAUAUCUUACAAUGCAUGUAAAAUCAGGACGUGUACAAUAUGUAAGACCAGGAAAGAGUUUUUCUCUUUCAAAGUGCUUUGUAAAGAACUUUCUCACAUUAUAAAUUACCAUCACCAUGAUGAAACCGGACAGAUAGCCAAGAAGCAGUUACUCACAAAAUAUGAAUUGUUCAGCCCUUUUAUUUAAUACUACUGGCCAGGGAAAGUGACUAACACUCUUCACUCUAAUAUGCAUUAAGGGGCUGCACGACAAGGAGGAACUUCAUUCAACUUUAUAAAACAUCAAUGAUGUUAUGCUGUAAGAAAAUGCAAUACAUAUCUCAUCAUCAAAAGAGGCCUCUGCUGUGGAUGAAAAAUACAUUUGCCAUUUAAGUCAUUUAGACAACAAUUGUAGCCAUAUUUGAUGAACAGAAGAGACUCCAAAUCUACUUUCAUAUUUUCUCAGCCUUACUUAUCUGACAGAAUGUAGCUGACUUCUAUUGUUUUGAGGGCUGUUCUACCUCUGAGAUCUUAUGAUUCAAUGCUCACGCACAACAGGUGCCUGUAUGUGUCAGGGCACAAACAAAGCCUGCAGCAGUAUGGAAAUCCUCUCUUGGCAUAUCAGUCACUGGCAUGCUUUGCUGUUGUUGUCAGUUUUCAAAAUGGUUCUGCAAAAACAGACCUGCAAACUGGGACACAAGGAAAAAGGGAUGGAAAGUUAGAAUAAGUGACAGCUGAGAGAGGCUUUAUUUUUUUCUUCUCUGCCAAGGAAGAAUUAUAUAGCCCGUGCCUGUUGGAAUGGUGUGAACAUGGGAUUCCUGCCCAUUUGCAAUUCACGUUUUAAGUAGAGCACAUAAAAUUCCCAUACACACUAAUACUGAGGUUCUGAGUGUCCACAAUUAUCAAAUAUGCCACAAGCUAUCAGAAACAUCCAAUGGACUAUAGUUCAAAAUCCUUCCUUUAUCCAACACCUUAGACCCGUCUCGCAGGCUUCGGGAGAGGUUGAGAUGUUGCAGUGGUGUCACGUGUAAUUGGGGUGACAUCCUCAGACACUGACAGUUUUCUCUGCCUUUGGGUUAGAGCACAGUUACUGGAUCUGAAAUCAGUUUUGCCUCUAAGUGUUAACAUUUGGCUAUCGAGUGUGUGUAUGUUCACUAUAGAAGAAUUCAUUUGGGAUGUUUUGAUGUUCAAUCAGGAAAGGAAUGUCCUGGGAAGUCUGCCAUACCCUGGUUGUGAUCUUAGUUACUUUACAUAAUCUCUCUGAACGAUGAGUGUACAGUGAGUCCUGCCCUAUCACUAUUUAUUGGACUUUGUCAUAUUUGUGCUUACCCAUCAUCUUCUGUUUAGUCUUUCUAUAUUUGCGAAAAUCCUCAGGUUAUGAGGCUAGUCUUACUAGGCUAGAAGUCAGAACCAAAAUCCCCAGCAGCCUUCCUGGUACCUAGGGUACACCUGGGAUUCACCAGUCGAAUGCACCAGACCUAUGCUUCAGUUAUGAGCAAUGGGAAGAGUUUGGUGCUCAGUUCUCUUUAUCUGGUGGGGAGGCAGUUGAAGCAUUGUUGUUGGAGAAAAAACCACUACUUAUUAAAAGUACAUACAAACUAUAAAUGUGCCCUGAUUUUAAAAGUUCAAAAUAUGAAAAAAUAUUAGCAUUUUUAGAGUAAAUGCAGUACAAUAAUUUGUACUGUACUGUGAAUGUUUAAUGGUUUUGAGCCUUCCCUGGGAUUGGUUCUGGUUUUAAAAAGAAGCCUGCCAACUCCAAGCAAUUUUUAGUAGCAUAUUAAGGAGGCAGUUCUCACCCAAGCCUUUAGUUCAUCUCUCAACUGUGUUACAGUUAUGUAUCCCUUUAUUUGUCCAAAAAACUUUGAGUUUAUAAGGAAAAGAUACUAGACCAGUAUCUUAGUCAGUUUGGGCUGCUGUAAUAGAACACCAUAGACUGGGUAGCUUAUAAACAAUAAAAAUCUAUGUCGUAUAUAUGGAAUCUAAAAAAAAAAAUGGUUCUGAUGAACCUAGGGACAGGCCAGGAAUAAAGACACAGACGUAGAGAAUGGACUUGAGGACACGGGGAGGGGGAAGGGUAAGCUGGGACGAAAUGAGAAAGUAGCAUUGACAUAUAUACACUCCCAAAUGUAAAACAGAUUGCUAGUGGGGAAGCAGCCGCGUAGCACAGGGAGGUCAGCUCGGUGCUUCGGGACCACCUAGAGGGGUGGGAUAGGGAGGGUAGGAGGGAGACGCAAGAGGAAGAGGAUAUGGGGAUAUACGUAUGCAUAUAGCUGAUUCACUUUGUUAUACAGCAGAAACUAACACACCAUUGUAAAGCAAUUAUACUCCAAUAAAGAUGUUAAAAAAAAAAAAAAACUACAUCUACCAGUUCUGGAGUUUGGAAGUUCAACCUCAAGGUGCUGGCAGAUUCAAAGUCUGAUAAGGACGUGCCUUCUGCUUCAUAGAUGAUCAUCUUCUCCCUGGGGCCUCACAUGGCAGAAGGAAGGAGUGAGGCAACAUUCUGGGGCCUCUUGCAUAAGAGCACUAAUCCCAUUCAUGGGGGCUCUGCCUUCAUGACCUAAUCACCUCCCAAAGGCCCCACCUCCAAAUACCAUCACAGUGAAGAUUAGGUUUCAACAUGUGAAUUUUGGGAGGACUCAUUGUCUAUAGCAGUUGGUAAUGUCUCAUUUGGGACCUGAUCUGUAUUCACUUAUAUGAUUUUAUUUAUUUCAAAAAAACCCUCUCCUUUUAGACUUUAUCUCUUCCAAGGGGAAAAAAAAAUCCAAAUCGUUAUUUUUAAAUAUAAAGUAUUCCAUUCUCUGAGGAGUUUAGUCAGAAAUAUUCUGCAUCCUGCUGGAUGCCUAAUGGAAGUAAACACCAGAAGCCUCCUGUUAUUUGAGAUGUUAAAGAUAGCAAGUGUUUACAUAUCCUGGAUGUAUGCUAAGAACUGUAAUUCUCUUGGAAAAAAAUUCUAAAGAUAAAAGUUUGAGAUAAAGUUAAGCUUUCUUCUUCUUCAUGAUCAGAUCAAACAAUCUUUAAAAUAAGGUACUUAACCAAGAUCUAUGUAGGAUGGCCCUUUACUUUUGGAUCAGUUUCUAUGACUAACUGGGGGCGUCGGAGAAGAGAAAAUCAUAAUACAUCCCAACUCGGUGACUUGCUGGUUUUAUGGUUGAGAUCAGCAUGGAGCAUCUAGUCAGAAUUGUAUCCAAAUGCACUUCUGUAAAUUUGCACAGAGGUCCCUUGGAACAAGAAUUAUUAUCUAAGGGAUAGUCAUGUCACAGAUGGGUCAGAAUUCCUCUCUCUCCUUCUAGUUUGUUAGCCUUGUCACUUGAAUCAUCCCUAUUAACCCAGGAGAAAUAAACUUGAAUUUUCAGUAAUGAUUGCAAGGACAUUUCUGCCUUCUUGAUGGUAUGUCCAGGUAGAUGCUAACAAUAAUGGUCCACACAUAAAGAUCUUGUUCUUUAGUUGCUGCAUGUUUUACACAUGUAUAAUUACCUCUUAAUUAGCCCUAAGGGAGAGGGAUACCUUUAGGUAUUGUUUGGCUUAAAAGAAAUUUUUCUUUUCAGUAAAAUAAUAGAGAUAUCCUGCUCAGGGUUUUUGUAUUAUAUACAAUUAGAGAGGUUACUCAUUAAUUUGGAAUUUUUAAAAUGUCUACAAGGAAAGUGAAACACCAACUGACUGGUGGGAGCUUUUUCACACAUACAUGGAAUGCCUCUACUCAAAGAGAAUGAAAUUGAUACCACAUUCAGGUUACUGGCCUUCUGGUUAUAACUGGUUUAUUCGAAUGAACAUUUAUUAUCUACUCUAUUUCAGGCCCAGUGUUGGUACUUUAAUGAGGGAUACAUGGUGUCUGCCCUUAAGGUCCUCAGAGUCUUGUGUCUCAGAGACUCAGCUGGGUUAACACUGCAAGGAUUGCUGAGUACUAAUAAAUCCAGGAUGAAAAUUACUUUGAUUAGGAAUUUGCUUUAGCGAAGGGUUUUAAAUAUCUUUUAGGUUAGAAUCUUCAUAGUAAAAUCAAUAAUGUAAUAUAUAUCUAGCUACUGUUCACUCUUCUCAAAUGCCCAUAAAUUAUAUAGAAGGUGCUGUUCAAAGAAGCUAUCAAACUAAAAUAGAGUCAACUGUGCUUAGUACAACUAAAUAUUAUCCUUUGUUUUGAACACAGGUUUAAGAGUUUAUCAUAAUAUCAGCCAAUGUUAAUUAAUGAUCUGUUACGUCUCAUUUGCGUUUCACAACCCUGUGAAGUAGAAUUCAUUAGUCAGAGGUUUUAGCUGCAAACAGUAGAAUCCAUCUUGGACAGUUUACCAAAACCACCGAUGUAUAGAAUAGUAUUACAGAGAAUCUUUGAGAGGGUUUGCGAAUCAGAUGCAAGGCUAUGUAUCUAGGAACAACACUCAAUACUUAUCUUCAGAACUGGCACAAUGAAGAGACUACCUUUGUGCCACUGUCCCAAUGAGGAUAAAGUGCCAGGAACUCAAGUUUACCGCCACUAUUAUGGCCAUCAGCACCCAUUCAACUUUUGUGUCAGGAACUCAACUUGCAACCAAAUUCACUGGUGUGUUUUACAACCACUGGUAGCAUGUAAUUAUAGGAAUAAUACAGGUACAGAUCCUAUUGACAGUCUUCCUUUUGAUUCAUCCACUUUCUCCACCUUCUACAUUCUUGACAGCUCUGAGUUCUCCAGUCAGUACUCACCACUCCCAAAUCAUGAGCUUUUUCAGGAGAAGGUGGUUAUGAUUGGAUAUUGGGAAAUAGGUUGGCUGUUUGGGAGUCUCUUAACAUUCAGGGGGAGGGUGGUCCUAGGUAAAGAGCUGGGGGCGGACCAGAAAAAGUGUGAAGAUACUGAGACUUUUGUAAAGCAGGGUCUGCAAGCUGAUGGGUAAGAGGAGAGGAAAGGGGUAUGGGAGUACAUCAAAUGAGAACGUUUUCUUAAGACCCUUGUUGUGGGGAACAUCUACACAGCACUAACAAUCACCUCAUGCCGCAUUUAAAAUCAUUCAAUCAAGAUGGUUAUUCUUGAAAUAAUGCCAUUUGCAGCAACAUGGAUAGACCUAGAGAAUAUCAUACUAAGUGAAGUAAGUCAGACAAAGACAGAUACCAUAUGAUAUCACUUAUAUGUGGAAUCUAAAAUAUGACACAAAUGGGGCUUCCCUGGUGGCGCAGUGGUUGAGAGUCCGCCUGCCGAUGCAGGGGACAAGGGUUCGUGACCCGGUCCAGGAAGAUCCCACAUGCCGCGGAGCAGCUGGGCCCGUGAGCCACGGCCACUGAGCCUGCGCGUCCGGAGCCUGUGCUCCGCAACGGGAGAGGCCACAACAGUGAGAGGCCCGCGUACCGCAAAAAAAACAAAAACAAAAAUAAAAUAUGACACAAAUGAACUUAUUUAUGAAACAGAAACACACUCACAGACAUAGAAAACAAACUUAAGUUUACCAAAGGGGAAAGGGGGUGGAGGAGGGAUAAAUUAGGAGUUUGGGAUUAGCAGAUACAAACCACGAUGUAUAAAAUAGAUAAAGGUCCUUGUGUACCACAGGGAACUGUGUUCAAUAUCCAACAGUAAACCAUAAUGGAAAAGAACAGAAAAAGAAUAUAUAUAUAUGUAUGACUGAAUCACUUUGCUGUACACCAGCAACUAAUACAACAUUGCAAAUCAACUAUACUUCCCUUAAAAAUGGCUAUUCUUGAGUGAAAAUUAAUGUUGCCAUGUCUUUAGAUAAGAGACUGUAUUUUUUUAAACAGAAAUGACAAACGUAAUACUAUCAGAAACUUGUGGCCAAGAAUCAGAUUUAAAACAAGCAGUUCCUGCUAAUUACAACUUCAUUGAUUUUCUUUUGCCAAAGUCUUUCAUUUAUGACGCAUCCGUAUUUGUCUAUUUACUUGAGAGUUUCCUCCGAGGUCAAGAGGCUACACAGUGAUUCAGGCAGUUUAAAAAAAUGGAGAGAAAGGCCUCUUUCACACUGCAAGUCACGAAGCUCCCCUGCCACUUCCCCUCCUCUGCUCUUGGCAAAGCAGGUGAUCUUGGCAAAGGCCCCACUCCUUUCACAUCCUCUGCCCAGGAGACUUUCAUGGGACUCCAUUUUCCCAUUAAAGCUCUCAUUGAUAUUAUUCAGGGGAUAAAGACAAAGGAAAAGAAGAACAAAAGGAUCCGUUUGAGGGAGUUUCUAUAAACUUGUAAACUAAAGGCCUUAUUGAAAAGACUUCAAAUAUGUAUAUGCUUCAGUGAUUAUUUUUGAAAAGAAUGGUAUCAGUGAAAUGAUACCAUUUGAAUUCUUCUGCAUGUUACAAGACAUUACCAAGGGAAAAAAACCAUGUGACUUUAUGAAAAGGAGGAUUUGGUCAUCAAAAUCAUGCCUCCCAAAACACAUCACCCUUAAAAAUCUAAAAAGACAAGAAAAAUAUCAUCAAAUGUGUUUGUCAUGAGCAUAUUUUUAGAUAGGUAAAAUUUAUGGUUAAAGUAUAUAUACAGCUGUUUACAUGCACUGAGGCUUAUAUAAUCAUUUGGAAAUUUGUAUUUAUAUGCGUAUAAUUUAUGAUUUGGGGGAAGUAUUAACUAACACUAAUUUAAAAUUCUCUUUCUAUCUUUGACUUAAUAAUAUGACCUGAUUAUAUAUUUUGGUCAUAGCUAUAAUUUAUUUGAUGUUGGUCCUUGGUCAGGGAUGCAAUCCCCCAAUUACAGUGUUGUUCAUAUGGAGAAAUGUGGUCCAAUCAAUGAUGACUUAGUUUAUGACAAUUUCUAGAAGAAUACUGUAAUGAAAAUUAGAAGCAGAAUAUUUGCAUAGUUCACUUAUAGCUUCCUGUAAGGGUGUCUAGCACAUACCAGGUGACAGGUUCAAUAAAUAGUUCAAGGUAUAUUAAGCAAAAACACCAAACAAACCACAUUUCUGACCAGCAAGUAUAGGAUAUUUACAUGUGUGCAAAAUGGAAGGGGACAGAUAAAUACAUAUUGGUAUUUGGUUUUUGUGUAUAUUAAUAUUUUUUGGAAGGACACACAAACACAAAUGCAAUAAUGGCAGUUAUCCUGUUUGAAGUUGUGGAAGGGGCUGGAUAGACAGAGGGCCAGGCUGGGAGAGUGGCUGUCACUGUGGACAUUUUCAAACUUUUUUGAUUUUUGAACUCUGUGGUUGUACUAUUUGUUCAAAAUUAAUUAAAAUAAAAUAAAAACAAUUAGAAAA